rnacentral:rRNA from 1 species
UACGUAGGCAGCAAGCGUUGUUCGGAAUUACUGGGCGUAAAGAGUGUGUAGGCGGUGCUCCAAGUCUGGUGUGAAAUCUCCCGGCUUAACUGGGAGGGUGCAUUAGAAACUGGAAUGCUAGAGGAUGGGAGAGGUAAGCGGAAUUCCUGGUGUAGCGGUGAAAUGCGUAGAUAUCAGGAGGAACACCUGUGGGGUAGACAGCCUUACUGGACCAUUUCUGACGCUGAGACACGAAAGCGUGGGUAGCAAACAGG